rnacentral:rRNA from 1 species
CCAAUAGCGUAUAUUAAAGUUGCUGCAGUUAAAAAGCUCGUAGUUGAAUUUCGGGACUAAUAUGUCGGUCGUGCCUCGGUACGUACUGGUAUUUUUGGUUUCUCCCUUCUGACGAACCUUGAUGUCAUUAAUUUGGUGUCUUGGGAAAUCAGGACUGUUACUUUGAAAAAAUUAGAGUGUUUAAAGCAGGCUCACGCUUGAAUACAUUAGCAUGGAAUAAUGAAAUAGGACGUUUGAUUCUAUUUUGUUGGUUUCUAGGAUCGACGUAAUGAUUAAUAGGGAUAGUUGGGGGCAUUAGUAUUCAAUUGUCAGAGGUGAAAUUCUUGGAUUUAUUGAAGACUAACUACUGCGAAAGCAUUUGCCAAGGAUGUUUUCAUUAAUCAAGAACGAAAGUUAGGGGAUCGAAGACGAUCAGAUACCGUCGUAGUCUUAACCGUAAACUAUGCCGACUAGGGAUCGGAUGAUGUUAAUUUUUUAAUGACUCAUUCGGCGCUUUACG